AGAAUGAAAAAUUGUGGGUAGCUAAGAGUUGGUAAACAAGUCCAAGAUCCCAAAGGAGUAUCCAUCAUGGAAAGUGUAAAUCUACAGUUUGAUAUAUGCAACUAGAUCUUUAUACAUGACUUAAGGAAUGUGUCCACCCCCAGGUCAGUGCCAUUUAAAGUAUGUGCUCCCAUUCUGGUCCCACACUUGAGAUGGUUCCCAGUUACAGC